CAGGACUUGACAUCCAGAGAACUUUCCAGAGAUGGAUUGGUGCCUUCGGGAACUCUGUGACAGGUGCUGCAUGGCUGUCGUCAGCUCGUAUCGUGAGAUGUUGGGUUAAGUCCCGUAACGAGCGCAACCCUUGUCCCUAGUUGCUAGCAGGUAAUGCUGAGAACUCUAGGGAGACUGCCGGUGACAAACCGGAGGAAGGUGGGGACGACGUCAAGUCAUCAUGGCCCUUACGUCCUGGGCUACACACGUGCUACAAUGGUUGGUACAGACGGUCGCUAAGCCGCGAGGUGGAGCUAAUCCGAAAAAACCAAUCGUAGUCCGGAUUGGAGUCUGCAACUCGACUCCAUGAAGUCGGAAUCGCUAGUAAUCGUGAAUCAGAAUGUCACGGUGAAUA
rnacentral:rRNA from 1 species